rnacentral:rRNA from 1 species
UACGUAGGGUGCGAGCGUUGUCCGGAAUUACUGGGCGUAAAGAGCUCGUAGGCGGUUUGUCGCGUCGUCUGUGAAAACUCGCAGCUCAACUGUGGGCGUGCAGGCGAUACGGGCAGACUCGAGUACUGCAGGGGAGACUGGAAUUCCUGGUGUAGCGGUGAAAUGCGCAGAUAUCAGGAGGAACACCGGUGGCGAAGGCGGGUCUCUGGGCAGUAACUGACGCUGAGGAGCGAAAGCGUGGGUAGCAAACAGG